AAAAAAAAAAGGAAAAAAAGGGCGAAGAGCGAAGAAAAAAAAGUCUCGGGAGCCCGAGCGGCUUUUUCCCCCCCGGCCGCCUCCUUUUUCGGUUGAAUCUGAACGGGAGCAGCUGUUCGCCCUAGCCGGAAAGGAGGUGUCAAAACCUGUUGCAUGGACUUAGAUCUGAGAAAGUCGCUUCUUAGCACCCUAAAAUAUCUCCCUCUCGGCCGUGCCUCGACCGUCUCCUUGCAGACAGCAGCCUGUAUGGGAGGCUGCAGGCCCUCACCGGUCCCGUUCAAGACAGGAAUCGAUUCACCCGAACUCCUGCCCUUCAUCUUUCCGCAAGCCCCUACGACCCUCGGCCGCUCCCUUCAUCCGUUCUACCGGGUCGACAAUGCCGCUCGCUGGGCUGGGGACAACCCCUCCGCCGGAGAGCCGUGAGGCAGCGGGAUGGCUACCCACCGCCCUUCACCCACUCGCACAAGGCUGAGGACACCCACGCUUCUGGCGGCCGGCCUCCGGUCCCCGCGUGGGAAGGGCAGGGAGACGGAGGCUCUCCCGGGGGCGCUUUUAUCGGCAGGAGUAGCGAACAAAUGAUAACCCCUGCAAUCUUCACACGCCAGAAAGAAACACAUCUUC